CCCCUGCCAGAGCUCCAGCGCGGGGCCGGAGACCCCCUCUCUGGGUGGCAGAUAUGCGGCUGGCGCCGGCUGCUUGCAAGUGGAGGAUUGAAAAAUGGGCUCGGAUCACCAGUGAUCUCACAACAUGGUCCAGUAUCGCUGCAAGGGAGAAGAAAAACGUGGCAACAUGUCUAAAUAGUCGUUACGCACGUCAGCAAGGAAAGACUUACCCAGCACACUUCAGGCAUGUGGACAGGGUCUGAGUCAACUGUGGCCUACUGCAUCACUUCCUGGUUCCUCCCUAUGAAAGAUGCCAUUCUGUUACCGGCACUGUUGGGCCACCCAACGAGGCCAAGCAAUCCGGCUUAAAAGUGCCCGGCUUAUCUACACGAGGUUCACUCUGUAUCUUAUCAAGAGAUAAACUCACUUUAGCUACAUCUUCAGUCUGCAACAUUAAGUCCCAGAAGGUGGGAGACCGGUGAAGAAAGGCCCUGGUGAUAAAAUGCCAAUUCAGGCCACCGGAGGAGGACUGGCCUGUGGGCUCCAUUUGGGGCGUCCAUCCAGAAAGCAUCUUCAUUCCCCAGUAGUGUUCAUGGGGCAGGCUGCCUGCUGAGGACACAGCAAGUAACAGGACCCUGCCUGGCCUUUGAGGAGCCUGACAACCAGACACGGGACAGGCUGGCAAUAGGAAAACCCUCAUAACCAUGGUGACAGUUAUGAGUGACAUUUAUGAAGCACCUGGCGACAAGUAGCGUUUCCAUUGCUUUAGCAUAAAAAUAAAAUCAGCUUUAGAGAGAA
rnacentral:sRNA from 1 species